AUACGGAGGGGGCUAGCGUUGUUCGGAAUUACUGGGCGUAAAGCGCGUGUAGGCGGAUCGUUAAGUCAGGGGUGAAAGCCCGGGGCUCAACCCCGGAACUGCCCUUGAUACUGGCGAUCUAGAGUCCGGAAGAGGUGGGCGGAAUUCCCGGUGUAGAGGUGAAAUUCGUAGAUAUCGGGAGGAACACCAGUGGCGAAGGCGGCUCACUGGUCCGGCACUGACGCUGAGACGCGAAAGCGUGGGGAGCAAACAGGAUUAGAUACCCUAGUAGUCC
rnacentral:rRNA from 1 species